ACAUGUAAGUCGAGCGGAAACAAUACAAGCUUGCUGCUAGGUGACGAGCGGCGGACGGGUGAGUAAUACUUAGGAAUCUACCUAGUAGUGGGGGAUAGCUCGGGGAAACUCGAAUUAAUACCGCAUACGACCUACGGGAGAAAGGGGGCAACUUGUUGCUCUCGCUAUUAUAUGAGCCUAAGUCGGAUUAGCUAGAUGGUGGGGUAAAGGCCUACCAUGGCGACGAUCUGUAGCUGGUCUGAGAGGAUGAUCAGACACACCGGGACUGAGACACGGCCCGGACUCCUACGGGAGGCAGCAGUGGGGAAUAUUGGACAAUGGGGGCAACCCUGAUCCAGGCAUGCCGCGUGUGUGAAGAAGGCCUUUUGGUUGUAAAGCACUUUAAGCAGUGAAGAAGACUUCAUGGUUAAUACCCGUGGGCGAUGACAUUAGCUGCAGAAUAAGCACCGGCUAACUCUGUGCCAGCAGCCGCGGUAAUACAGAGGGUGCAAGCGUUAAUCGGAAUUACUGGGCGUAAAGCGAGCGUAGGUGGCUUGAUAAGUCAGAUGUGAAA
rnacentral:rRNA from 1 species